rnacentral:rRNA from 1 species
UACGUAGGGUGCGAGCGUUAAUCGGAAUUACUGGGCGUAAAGCGUGCGUAGGCGGUUCGUUAAGUUCGUUGUGAAAGCCCCGGGCUCAACCUGGGAACUGCAAUGGAAACUGGCGGGCUUGAGUGUGGCAGAGGGGGGUGGAAUUCCACGUGUAGCAGUGAAAUGCGUAGAGAUGUGGAGGAACACCGAUGGCGAAGGCAGCCCCCUGGGUCAACACUGACGCUCAUGCACGAAAGCGUGGGGAGCAAACAGG